rnacentral:rRNA from 1 species
GACCCUAUAGAGUUUAAUAUUUUAAUUUAGAAAUUAUUUUUUAGAAUUUAAUAUUAGUUUUUAAUUUAAAUAUUUGAUUGGGGUGAUUGAAAAAUUUAAGAAACUUUUUUUAUAUUUAUGCAUUGAUUUAUGUUUAUUUGAUCCAUUUUUUAUGAUUAUAAGAUUAAAUUACCUUAGGGAUAACAGCGUAAUUUUUUUUGAGAGUUCAAAUCGAAAGAAAAGAUUGCGACCUCGAUGUUGGAUUAAAAUUUAUAUUUGGUGUAGAAGCUGAAUUUAUUGGGUCUGUUCGACCUUUAAAAUUUUACAUGAUCUGA